CGGUGUUUAACUGGCGUGAUGUGGGACGUCCUACCGGUGGGCUUAGCCUCGCGAGGGGCGGCCCAACUAAUAUCCCGUCGCGGUGCUCUUUACUGAGUGUCGAGUCGGGCCGGUACGUUUACUUUGAACAAAUUAGAGUGCUUAAAGCAGGCUAUCCUCGCCUGAAUACUGCGUGCAUGGAAUAAUGGAAUAAGACCUCGGUUCUAUUUUGUUGGUUUUCGGAACCCCGAGGUAAUGAUUAAUAGGGACAGAUGGGGGCAUUCGUAUUGCGACGUUAGAGGUGAAAUUCUUGGAUCGUCGCAAGACGGACAGAAGCGAAAGCAUUUGCCAAAAAUGUUUUCAUUAAUCAAGAACGAAAGUUAGAGGUUCGAAGGCGAUCAGAUACCGCCCUAGUUCUAACCAUAAACGAUGCCAGCUAGCGAUCCGCCGAAGUUCCUCCGAUGACUCGGCGGGCAGCUUCCGGGAAACCAAAGCUUUUGGGUUCCGGGGGAAGUAUGGUUGCAAAGCUGAAACUUAAAGGAAUUGACGGAAGGGCACCACCAGGAGUGGAGCCUGCGGCUUAAUUUGACUCAACACGGGAAACCUCACCAGGCCCAGACACCGGAAGGAUUGACAGAUUGAUAGCUCUUUCUUGAUUCGGUGGGUGGUGGUGCAUGGCCGUUCUUAGUUGGUGGAGCGAUUUGUCUGGUUAAUUCCGAUAACGAACGAGACUCUAGCCUGCUAAAUAGGCGUACCUUAUGGUAUCGCGAAGGCCCCCGGCUUCGGCCGGUGGGUUUUUACUACCAACGUACAAACAAAUCUUUUUAGAGGGACAGGCGG
rnacentral:rRNA from 1 species